AUUUUUAAGCAGCGGCAGUAUCGUAGCCCGUGAGGUUGGUCCAAGGCGUGAUUAUUGCUAGUUGAAAACUUUACCCAAUAUCCCGCCUUGACCACUUGAAAUUCUGUCGGCGGUGGCAAUUUUUGCUUGCCUCUGAAAAGG
ensembl:snRNA U4 U4 spliceosomal RNA